GACGAACGCUGGCGGCGUGCCUAAUACAUGCAAGUUGAGCGCUGAAGGUUGGUACUUGUACCAACUGGAUGAGCAGCGAACGGGUGAGUAACGCGUGGGGAAUCUGCCUUUGAGCGGGGGACAACAUUUGGAAACGAAUGCUAAUACCGCAUAAAAACUUUAAACACAAGUUUUAAGUUUGAAAGAUGCAAUUGCAUCACUCAAAGAUGAUCCCGCGUUGUAUUAGCUAGUUGGUGAGGUAAAGGCUCACCAAGGCGAUGAUACAUAGCCGACCUGAGAGGGUGAUCGGCCACCUUGGGACUGGGACACGGCCCAAACUCCCUCGGGAGGCAGCAGGAGGGGAUCUUCGGCAAUUGACGAAAGUCUGACCGGGCCACGCCGCGUGAGUUGAGAAGGGUUUCGGAUCGUAAAACUCUGUUGGUAGGGAAGAACGUUGGUUAGAGUGGAAAGCUCAUCAAGUGACGGUAACUACCCAGAAAGGGACGGCUAACUACGUG
rnacentral:rRNA from 1 species